rnacentral:tRNA from 1 species
GGGAAUGUAGCUCAGUUGGUAGAGUGCUUGCCUCACAUGCAUCAAGGCCCAGGGUUCAAUCCCCAGCACCA